rnacentral:rRNA from 1 species
CGCAUCUGUGCAUGCAGCAUAUCAAUAAGCGGAGGAAAAGAAACUAACAAGGAUUCCCCUAGUAACGGCGAGUGAAGCGGGAAGAGCUCAAAUUUGAAAUCUUAAAGGGUUUCCCUUUACGAAUUGUAGUUUAAAGAAGUGUUUUCUGUUGAGGUUUUGGUAAAAGUUCUUUGGAAUAGGACAUCAUAGAGGGUGAGAAUCCCGUAUUUGACCUUUACUUUCAACUUUGUGAUACACUUUCAAAGAGUCGGAUUGUUUGGGAAUGCAGUCCAAAAUGGGUGGUAAAUUUCAUCUAAAGCUAAAUAUUGGCGAGAGACCGAUAGCGAACAAGUACCGUGAGGGAAAGAUGAAAAGAACUUUGAAAAGAGAGUUAAACAGUACGUGAAAUUGUCAAAAGGGAAGCGUUUGACACCAGUGUUGUUUUUCUGAAAAUCAAUUAAAGAACUGUUUAUGCUAAGCUGUUUAGACUUUAUCAGCUAUCUGUUUAGUUUUGAGCUUUUCUUUAAUGCACUUUUCAGUUAACAAGUCAACAUCAAUUUCUUUUGCUGUAAAAAAGCUUGAGGAAGGUGGCUUGAGAUUCGUCUUAAGUGUUUAUAGCCUCUUGCCUAUGCAGUCGGAGAGAUUGAGGUCUGCAGCGUAGAUCCUUCGGGGCUAAAUGCAUUUGUGCUAAGUUAUAACAUUUCAUAGACAACUUGUUGACUAUGAUUUGUCUUGUAGCUUACUCGCUUAUGUUAUUUUACCUACGCUUAGGAUGUUGACAGCAGUAUAGACUGU